rfam:Charadrius vociferus contig12166, whole genome shotgun sequence.
CAGCUUUAGUUAAAAAAAAAAAAUUGUGCUCCUGGUGGCUACAUUUAAUACAAGGGAUACUGUGUAAGUUUGUUACCUUGUUUAUAUGUACACAUGAUCUAAAAAAACCCCCAAAAG